UACGAAGGGGGCUAGCGUUGCUCGGAAUCACUGGGCGUAAAGCGCACGUAGGCGGAUUUUUAAGUCAGGGGUGAAAUCCUGGAGCUCAACUCCAGAACUGCCUUUGAUACUGGGAAUCUCGAGUCCGGGAGAGGUGAGUGGAACUGCGAGUGUAGAGGUGAAAUUCGUAGAUAUUCGCAAGAACACCAGUGGCGAAGGCGGCUCGCUGGCCCGGUACUGACGCUGAGGUGCGAAAGCGUGGGGAGCAAACAGG
rnacentral:rRNA from 1 species